rnacentral:rRNA from 1 species
UACAGAGGGUGCAAGCGUUGCUCGGAUUUACUGGGCGUAAAGCGUACGCAGACGGCCACGCAGGUCGGGUGUGAAAGCCCGGGGCUCAACCCCGGAACGGCAUUCGAAACCAUGUGGCUAGAGGAUGGGAGAGGAGAGCGGAAUUCCCGGUGUAGAGGUGAAAUUCGUAGAUAUCGGGAGGAACACCAGUGGCGAAAGCGGCUCUCUGGCCCACACCUGACGUUCAGGUACGAAAGCGUGGGGAGCAAACAGG